rnacentral:rRNA from 2 species
GCAUAUCAAUAAGCGGAGGAAAAGAAACCAACAGGGAUUGCCUCAGUAACGGCGAGUGAAGCGGCAACAGCUCAAAUUUGAAAUCUGGCCCUAGGCCCGAGUUGUAAUUUGCAGAGGAUGCUUUUGGUGCGGUGCCUUCCAAGUUCCCUAGAACGGGACGCCAGAGAGGGUGAGAGCCCCGUACAGUUGGACACCAAGCCUUUGUAAAGCUCCUUCGACGAGUCGAGUAGUUUGGGAAUGCUGCUCAAAAUGGGAGGUAUAUUUCUUCUAAAGCUAAAUACCGGCCAGAGACCGAUAGCGCACAAGUAGAGUGAUCGAAAGAUGAAAAGCACUUUGAAAAGAGGGUUAAACAGCACGUGAAAUUGUUAAAAGGGAAGCGCUUGUGACCAGACUUGCGUCCGGUGAAUCACCCAGCUCUCGCGGCUGGGGCACUUCGCCGGCUCAGGCCAGCAUCAGCUCGCUGUCGGGGACAAAAGCUUCAGGAACGUAGCUCUCUUCGGGGAGUGUUAUAGCCUGUUGCAUAAUACCCUUCGGCGGGCUGAGGUACGCGCUCCGCAAGGAUGCUGGCAUAAUGGUCAUCAGCGACCCGUCUUGAAACACGGACCAAGGAGUCAACCUUAUGUGCGAGUGUUCGGGUGUCAAACCCCUACGCGUAAUGAAAGUGAACGCAGGUGAGAGCUUCGGCGCAUCAUCGACCGAUCCUGAUGUUCUCGGAUGGAUUUGAGUAAGAGCAUAUAGGGUUGGACCCGAAAGAAGGUGAACUAUGCGUGUAUAGGGUGAAGCCAGAGGAAACUCUGGUGGAGGCUCGCAGCGGUUCUGACGUGCAAAUCGAUCGUCAAAUAUGCGCAUGGGGGCGAAAGACUAAUCGAACCUUCUAGUAGCUGGUUUCCGCCGA